rnacentral:other from 1 species
CGCUGACCGAGACAUCACAGACGCUUCAACUUAAUCUUUUCGUGCGUUUGAGAGGUAGGUGCUGAGGCCUGUCUUUUCGGACCUGCCCUUCGCAUUGUCCGCUGUUCUCCUGAUCCGGGGCCCUGUCAUCCUCAGCUCGGUAACGUCGGUGCGCUCCUGUGUUUGCGGCCUGUGGCUGGUUUUCCUACGAAGCCCUAUAGCUGCCUGCUGACCGACUGGCCGACGGUGCCGGAAAGAUGAAGCUGUCCCUGGUGGCCGCGGUGCUGCUG